rnacentral:rRNA from 1 species
GACGAACGCUGGCGGCGUGCCUAACACAUGCAAGACAACUUGACUGAAGGAGCAAUCUGACAGUAGAGUGGCGCAAAGGGUGCGUAACGCGUAAGUAACUUGCCCAAGGUAAGGAAUAACGUCGAGAAAUCGGCGCUAAUACCUCAUAAUGCAGCGGAUCCGCAUGGAUAUGUUGUUAAAGGUUUACCGCCUUGGGAUAGGCUUGCGUCUGAUUAGUUAGUUGGUGUGGUAACGGCACACCAAGGCUACGAUCAGUAACUGGUCUGAGAGGAUGAUCAGUCAUACUGGAACUGAGACACGGUCCAGACUCCUACGGGAGGCAGCAGUGAGGAAUAUUGGGCGAAUGCUCGAAAGAGUGACCCAGCAACGCCGCGUGGAGGAUGAAGGUAUUCUAUAUGUAAACUACCUGUGAGAGCAG